CAGAUAAAAGCCACUCCUCCCCAGACUCUGCAAAGACUUUUCUUUCAUCCUGGUUUCCCUUUUCUGCAUUUCUUGCCUCUUCUCAACAUGGAAAUGAGCUUCCUAGUUGUCCUGCUUCGAUUAUGUGUCCAGUUCCUUGCUCUUCCUAUUUACUUGCUGUGGUUCCUGGGUAUAUGGGAUCCCAUUUGCAAGAAAGCAUUCCCUUAUUUUAUGGUUUACUUCUCUGUCCACUACAACAGCAAGAUGUCUGCCAAGAAGAAAGAACUUUUCAACAACCUCAGUGACUUCGCAAGCCCUUCAGGAGUUCUUACAAUUCUGGAGAUUGGCACAGGAACUGGGACCAACUUCCAGUUCUACCCAAGAGGAUGCAAAGUUAUAUGCACUGACCCUAAUCCCAACUUCAAGAAAUUUCUUGACAAGAACCUGUCUGAAAAUCCACAGGUAAAGCUGGAGCGUUGCAUAGUGACAGGAGCUGAGGAUUUGCACCAAAUACCAGACGCUUCGGUGGAUGUAGUGGUUUGUACUCUGGUGCUGUGCUCUGUGACAAGCAUAGAAGGAGUCCUGAGAGAAGUUCUGCGAGUGCUGCGACCAGGAGGUGCUUUCUACUUCAUGGAACAUGUUGCAGGUCCUCCUUCCAGCUGGAGUCUCUUCUGGCAGCAAAUCUAUGAUCCACCUUGGAAAGUUGUGUUUGAUGGAUGCCACUUGACCAGAGAGACAGGGAAGUACCUGGAAAAGGCUGGGUUUUCAGAGCUGAAGCUACGUCAUAUGCAGGCCCCUUUAAAUUGGAAUCCUGUUAGACCACAUAUCAUAGGCUAUGCUGUGAAGUAACUAUAUAACAAAGGCUGUUAAGCAAAUUUCCAAAUGCUGGGUAUAGAAGUGAUUUAUUGUCUUCUGUACAGGUGUGUGUGUGUAACCUAAAUGGGAGAAUUUAUGGCAAUUCAACCUAUGACCCAUAAACCUCUAACUUGCUUCAGUGCAGAUGAAGACAUUCUGUUACCAGUAUUUGCCAUAUUCACAUCUACAUGAAGAGCUCUCAACUCUAAUUCUGUUCUCCAUGAACUCGCUUGAUUCCACUAAGCAUUAAAUAACAGCCAUUGCUUCUUACAGAUCCUUUUAUCUGUUUGCCAUAUGACUGGGAUAUGGUUUAUUUUUGUUCAGGGCUGGAAACAUAUGGCCUUUUAGGUGUAGGAAUUAGCAAGACAGUCCAGUGAUGAGGGAGGAUGGGAAUCACUGUUCAUCAACAUUUGAAAAACUGAAGGUUCUUUUGCCUUCUUUUCUUUUCUUUAUUUCCAGUGUAUCAGUACUGGAUUUCCAAGCAAUUGUUUAGAGAGCCAGCAUAAUGUAGUGGUCUGAGAGUUGGACUAGGAUACUGGAAGAUUAGGGUUUGAAUCCCUGUUGGACCAUGGAAACUGAACAAACACAAUAGGAGGAAGAAAUAGAAGGGAGAAACUAACAAUGCACUGAACUGUGAUAUGUCAAAGGAAUAAAUGUGUCCAAAAAUAAAACCACCACUUUCACACAUACACAAUACUAAAUUGUAUUAUACAGUAACCACAUGGUAGUAAUGCUGAAAAACAGUAAAUACACAUCCAAAGUACCUAUGUAAAGCAGCAUAUCCCAAACUCUACUCACAUAUUUCCUCAUGUUCUAAUAAUCUCUGCUGCAGUGAAAAGGUUUCUGUAAGGGGAGGCUGGCAAAAGGUUCCACAGAUGAUAGAUUAAUGCUCUCUCUGGUCUUCACAGCUAUGGUUUUGAACUUUAUAUCCACAUGUCAUAGAAGUAGUCGUCUUGCAACCAUACAGCAUAUUGAUUGUAUAAACUAUCGAAGAUGAAUAGCAAGCAAUGAUAGCAGGAAAGUGAAUAAAUAACUAUGAGAGAAGAUGACUACCUCCAGAGUUUUUUUAGAAGCCAUUUCGAAAUAAUAA